GACGAACGCUGGCGGCGUGCUUAACACAUGCAAGUCGAACGCUGAAGCUUGGUGCUUGCACUGGGUGGAUGAGUGGCGAACGGGUGAGUAAUACGUGCGUAACCUGCCCUUGACUCUGGGAUAAGCCUGGGAAACUGGGUCUAAUACUGGAUACGACAUGUCACCGCAUGUUGGUGUGUGGAAAGGGUUUUACUGGUUUUGGAUGGGCUCACGGCCUAUCAGCUUGUUGGUGGGGUAAUGGCACACCAAGGCGACGACGGGUAGACGGGCUGAGAGGGUGGCCUGACACGCUGGGACUGAAACACGGCACAGACUCCUACGGGAGGCAGAAGAGGAGAAUAGUACACUAUAGGCGGAAGCCAGAUGCAGCGACGCCGCGUGAGGUAUGACGGGAUUCGUGUUGUAUACCUAUUUCAGCACGGAAGAAGCGAAAGUGACGGUACGUGCAGAAGAAGCUCCGGCUAACUACGUG
rnacentral:rRNA from 1 species